UUGGUGGGUGUCGUGUCAAUGCUACCCAUGCUCAGGCACCUGUAAAUUGGACACGAAAAGUUCAUCAGACUCGUAACUGCUGACUUGGUAACUCCACAAUCAAUCAAGCUGCGGUCUUUGACAACAAAUUCAUGAGCUGUACCAAUCUCCUGAUACCACCUGGCAUGAGCAUUUUCUACAUGCACUUCACGGAAGCCAUGUAGCAU
rnacentral:lncRNA from 1 species